rnacentral:rRNA from 1 species
CCUACGGGUGGCAGCAGUGAGGAAUAUUGGUCAAUGGGCGCGAGCCUGAACCAGCCAAGUAGCGUGAGGGAAGACGGUCCUAUGGAUUGUAAACCUCUUUUGUCGGGGAGAAAAGGAAGCCACGCGUGGCGUUCCGAGAGUACCCGAAGAAAAAGCAUCGGCUAACUCCGUGCCAGCAGCCGCGGUAAUACGGAGGAUGCGGGCGGUAUCCGGAUUUAUUGGGUUUAAAGGGUGCGCAGGCGGAAGAUCAAGUCGACGGUAAAAGUUGGGGGCCAAACCUCUUGGUGCCGUUGAAACUGGUUUUCUUGAGUGAGUGAGAAGUAUGCGGAAUGCGUGGUGUAGCGGUGAAAUGCAUAGAUAUCACGCAGAACUCCGAUUGCGAAGGCAGCAUACCGGCGCUCAACUGACGCUCAUGCACGAAAGUGUGGGUAUCGAACAGGAUUAGAUACCCCUGUAGUC